CCAAGCUCGAGCAGUGACGCCAUUUUCAAUAUUGCAGUGUGUGAGUGCUGCAGCCAUGAAGUUCAUUGUGUGUGUCUUCUUGUUGUUGGUGAUCUUGGAGGGAUUCCAAUGUGCACCAUGCUUGGAGUGGUUAUUUGGUUAUCCUCCACGACAAAAUAUUUACAUUGUACAAAAUCAGUACAUUAACUAUGGAAACGGUAAUACCAUGAUCGUGCGUCAGUAUCCUAAUUAUUUUGGAUUUUUAUUAUUAUAAUGUAAUGCUAGUAAAUUUGAAAAGAAUACACCGAACUGUAUAAUACAAGUUAUUAUUAUUAUAAGUCAAUAAAUUAAUAUUAUAAGAAGAAGUAUACAGAACUUUUUUAUUUACCUAAUAACAUCGUAAUGUAACCAGCACGUUCCGAAGAAGGAAUAAUUAUAAGUCCCUUGUACGUAAUGUAGAAUUCCAUACUUCAUCUUAGUGUUGAGAAUUUCGAUAGCUACAAAGCUAGAAGCUGUCGUUUUUUAUUCAAUAUAAAAUUAUCUAGUGUUACGAACGUCCAUUGGACGUUUAUUAUUUGACAGCUGCUGUGAUUGGACAAAAAAUUAGCUUGCUACGUUUGCGCCAUCUAUUGAGCUGAAAAGCGGUAGCCGCCAUUGAAGUCGCAGUGAUGUGACUCAGUCAGGAGUAUUCCUGUUUGAGUGCCUAUUUAUGAUCGUCAUAUAUAAAUAUACGGUUUAAAAUCGAUGGUGAUCAAAGAUAAAUAGAUGUUCUAGAUGCUCAAACGGGAACACUCUAGAAGAGAAGAGGUUAUGAUAUUAAAUGUCUUAUAUUAAAUGUGUGUAAUUCUAAUCUGGUAUCACCAGACAAAGAAUCAGGUUGGUACAGGUAGACAAAUCUUGCUGCCAUUCCGCCAUGAGAUCGUACCGGAGCUCACCCCGCCACGCACUAAUCUGGCGCGGCAGCGGAGUUUCGCCCCGGCGACGUGCCUUCACGCGCAAACAAAACACGCGCGCGAGCACCUUCACCCCCAAAUACCACGUGGUAACCCGGCAAGGAGGUUCGCCACCUCUCCGUAGAUCGUGCAAUAUCAAUCGGAUCAUCAUGACCCUCUGAGAUGUGAGCAGCGCCCGAGUGGGCUGCCGCAUCAAAUUCGGCGCUCACACAGGGGCUCCGUAGAGGGCCAUGGACCGCACGACCCCACAUAAAACCUCUGGCAGGAGGCGUUUGGCCCUCUGAGAUUCGGUAGGAGGCGUUUAAACGCUGACCCCGUCCCUUCCAACUUAGGAGCCAAACGUCGAAAGUGCUCCACAAAGUUCCACCGACUGUCGAGGACGAGUCCUAGGUACUUCAUCGGCGUCUCGGCGCCGAUGGUAACCCCUCCUGCCGUUAUUUGGGACUCACCCGAAAGUGGCGCGUUC